GCGCUCGUAGCUCAGUUGGAUAGAGUAUCAGACUCCGACUCUGAGGGUCGUGGGUUCGAAUCCCGCCGGGCGCGCCA
rnacentral:tRNA from 1 species